rnacentral:rRNA from 1 species
GACAGAGGGUGCAAACGUUGCUCGGAAUCACUGGGCGUAAAGGGCGUGUAGGCGGGAAUGUAAGUCGGGCGUGAAAUCCCUAGGCUCAACCUAGGAACUGCACUCGAAACUGCGUUUCUUGAGUAUCGGAGAGGAAAGCGGAAUACCUGGUGUAGAGGUGAAAUUCGUAGAUAUCAGGUGGAACACCAGUGGCGAAGGCGGCUCGCUGGGACGUUACUGACGCUGAGACGCGAAAGCGUGGGGAGCAAACAGG